rnacentral:rRNA from 1 species
GGCUCCCUACGGGGGGCAGCAGUGGGGAAUAUUGCACAAUGGGGGAAACCCUGAUGCAGCGACGCCGCGUGAGUGAAGAAGUAUUUCGGUAUGUAAAGCUCUAUCAGCAGGGAAGAAAAUGACGGUACCUGACUAAGAAGCCCCGGCUAACUACGUGCCAGCAGCCGCGGUAAUACGUAGGGGGCAAGCGUUAUCCGGAAUUACUGGGUGUAAAGGGAGCGUAGACGGUAAUGCAAGUCUGGAGUGAAAGGCGGGGGCCCAACCCCCGGACUGCUCGGGAAACUGUGUAACUGGAGUGCAGGAGG